UACGUAGGGCGCAAGCGUUAUCCGGAAUUACUGGGCGUAAAGGGCGCGUAGGCGGCUCGCUAAGUCGGAUGUGAAAACUCUGGGCUCAACCCAGGAAGUGCAUCCGAAACUGCCGAGCUUGAGUACUUAAGAGGAUCGCGGAAUUCCCGGUGUAGAGGUGAAAUUCGUAGAUAUCGGGAGGAACACCAGUGGCGAAGGCGGCGAUCUGGGAAGAUACUGACGCUGAGGUGCGAAAGCGUGGGGAGCAAACAGG
rnacentral:rRNA from 1 species